GACGAACCGUGCGAACGUUGUUCGGAUUCACUGGGCUUAAAGGGCGCGUAGGCGGGCCACCAAGUCAGGGGUGAAAUCUUUCGGCUCAACCGGAAAAGUGCCUUUGAUACUGGUGGUCUCGAGGGAGGUAGGGGCAUGCGGAACUUCCGGUGGAGCGGUGAAAUGCGUAGAUAUCGGAAGGAACGCCGGUGGCGAAAGCGGCGUGCUGGACCUCUUCUGACGCUGAGGCGCGAAAGCUAGGGGAGCAAACGGG
rnacentral:rRNA from 1 species